AGGUAUGCUCCAAGAUGCCUCUUCCAGAUCCAACUAGCACAGUGGGUUGGUUUUAGUCCUUCUAAUGCAAGUGCCUGGCAAAAGAAGGGGGCCAAACCUACUAACCAGCGGGAUCCGAACGACAUGUGGAUUUCCAAAAGGUGCAACUAGCAUGGACAAAGAUUCGAUGGAUACACCUAGGUACAACACCCCAUAUGUUAAACAUCUUAGAUUAGAUGUUAGUACUUGCUGAUAUCUGAUGUAACGCGUUGCAUAUGUACACUUGCAUGUAGGCAUACGGAGAAGUACUACAAGGGCUUGCCAGAUUCUUACAAUGCAUUUAGUAAAUGUUCAGUUGAGAAUCAGGGAUUCAAUAUUCUAUAUUAUUCUUCUAAGGGUUUUUAGCAUACAAAAGUAUGCAUGGUUGUGCAGACUUUUAGCUUUAUUUUUAACAAGCUAUAGUUAAGUAAAGCAUCUGCUGUUAACGACCUGAUAUUUUUUUGUUGUACAA